CUUCCAAUAACGAGUGGAUCCCUGCAAGGUCACUUGUGUCCGCUGCAAUUUUUGACACUGUUUCAGAUGACUCAUUCAUGCUAAAAAAUAGUUACAAGACACUUGAAAAACAGAUAUACAGAGACAGAUUCAGCAAGGAUAAUUCAUCUGAGACGUGUUUAAAGAACUGAGUAGAAAGCAGCAAAGUGCCUUUGUCUUCUGUCGUGCCUAAUGACGUCUCAACAUUGAGAGCCAUCUGAACAAGCAUGAAGACACCUGCGCAAGAGUUGCAGAUAGACCUACAAUGAUGCUAGGAAUGAUGAUCCAGGAUUUUGACCUCAUGACAUGAGGAAACGUAACCAUAUUGAAGUUGCAUUGAUCCUGCUGGACCUGCUGAAUCAUUCCAUCAUUUUCAGCUUUUAUUUCAAAUUUCCAGAUUUUGCUUUUAUCUUUCAUUAUUAUCCCUGGGUAUGUCCUGUCCCAUCAGGACAACAGGCCUCCCAGGGAUAGUGAUAUAGUGGUUCGCAGUCAGAAAAGACCUUGGGAGCCCUCAACAACAAUUCAGCCUUCAAGAAGUCUCAUAGCAUCUGGACAAACUGGGACAACUAAACCUCCUGCUGUUCAUCACGUACUUCCCCCCUCAGCAAGUGAAUCAGUACUCCGCCAUGUUGACUACUUGUGAAGUGCAAUAGGGGUGUCCAGGACACAGAAUGUGCACUCUGGGUGUACUGUGAUGGACACUUCAAUGUCCCUCAUCCAACAAUGGCUGAUACAAAGGCCAAGUUUACCUAAGCCACAAGGGUGGUCAAGAAAUCUAUUAGACCAAAUCUCAAAGCAAAAAUGAAAGUGACAAAGGAAGUGGUAAUAAAAUGAAGC